AGAGUUUGAUCAUGGCUCAGAUUGAACGCUGGCGGUAUGCUUUACACAUGCAAGUCGAACGGCAGCACGGGGCAACCUGGUGGCGAGUGGCGAACGGGUGAGUAAUAUAUCGGAACAUGUCCGGAAGUGGGGGAUAACGUAGCGAAAGUUACGCUAAUACCGCAUAUGCCCUGAGGGGGAAAGGAGGGGAUCCGCAAGGACCUUUCGCUUUCGGAGUGGCCGAUAUCGGAUUAGCUAGUAGGUGAGGUAAAGGCUCACCUAGGCGACGAUCCGUAGCGGGUCUGAGAGGACGACCCGCCACACUGGAACUGAGACACGGUCCAUACUCCUACGGGAGGCAGCAAUGNGGAAUUUUGGACAAUGGGCGCAAGCCUGAUCCAGCCAUACCGCGUGAGUGAAGAAGGCCUUCGGGUUGUAAAGCUCCUUCAGACGGAAAGAAACGGUCGCGGCUAAUACCCGCGGCUAAUGACGGUACCGUAAGAAGAAGCACCGGCUAACUACGUGCCAGCAGCCGCUGUAAUACGUUGGGUGCGAGCGUUAAUCGGAAUUACUGGGCUUAAAGCGUGCGCAGGCGGUUUGGUAAGAGAGAUGUGAAAUCCCCGGGCUUAACCUGGGAACUGCAUUUGUGACUGUAAGACUAGAGUGUAGCAGAGGGGGGGUAGAAUUCCACGUGUAGCAGUGAAAUGCGUAGAGAUGUGGAGGAAUACCGAUGGCGAAGGCAGCCCCCUNGGGCUAACACUGACGCUCAUGCACGAAAGCGUGGGGAGCAAACAGGAUUAGAUACCCUGGUAGUCCACGCCGUAAACGAUGUCAACUAGCUGUUGGUUAUAUGAAUAUAAUUAGUGGCGAAGCAAACGCGAUAAGUUGACCGCCUGGGGAGUACGGUCGCAAGAUUAAAACUCAAAGGAAUUGACGGGGGCCCGCACAAGCGGUGGAGCAUGUGGUUUAAUUCGAUGCAACGCGAAGAACCUUACCUACCCUUGACAUACAGUGGAUUUUGCAGAGAUGCGGAAGUGCCUUCGGGAACACUGAUACAGGUGCUGCAUGGCUGUCGUCAGCUCGUGUCGUGAGAUGUUGGGUUAAGUCCCGUAACGAGCGCAACCCUUAUCCUUAGUUGCCAGCGAGUAAUGUCGGGAACUCUAAGGAGACUGCCGGUGACAAACCGGAGGAAGGCGGGGACGACGUCAAGUCCUCAUGGCCCUUAUGGGUAGGGCUUCACACGUAAUACAAUGGUCGGUACAGAGGGUUGCCAACCCGCGAGGGGGAGCUAAUCUCAGAAAGCCGAUCGUAGUCCGGAUCGCAGUCUGCAACUCGACUGCGUGAAGUCGGAAUCGCUAGUAAUCGCGGAUCAGCAUGUCGCGGUGAAUACGUUCCCGGGUCUUGUACACACCGCCCGUCACACCAUGGGAGUGGAAUCUGCCAGAAGUAGGUAGCCUAACCGUAAGGGGGGCGCUUACCACGGUGGGUUUCAUGACUGGGGUGAAGUCGUAACAAGGUA
rnacentral:rRNA from 1 species